CCUACGGGAGGCAGCAGUGGGGAAUAUUGGGCAAUGGAGGCAACUCUGACCCAGCAAUGCCGCGUGAGUGAUGAAGGUAAUUUUAUUGUAAAGCUCUUUUCUUUGGAACGAAUAAAUGACGGUACCAAAGGAAUAAGCCCUGGCUAACGACGUGCCAGCAGCCGCCGUAAUACGUAGGGCGCAAGCGUUGUUCGGUAUGACUGGGCGUAAAGGGUGUACAGCCGGAGAGACAAGUCAGAUGUGAAAUCCACGGGCUCAACCCUUGAACUGCAUUUGAAACUGUUUCCCUUGAGUGUAGGAGAGGUAAUCGGAAUUCCUAGUGUAGCGGUGGAAUGCGUAGAUAUAAGGAAGAACACCAGUGGCGAAGGCGGAUUACUGGACGAUAACUGACGGUGAGGCACGAAAGCGUGGGGAGCAAACAGGAUUAGAUACCCUAGUAGUC
rnacentral:rRNA from 1 species